GCCUAGCUGGCUCAGUCAGUACAGCAUGAGACUCUUGAUCUUGAAAUCAUGAGUUCAAGCCCCACACUGGGCA
rnacentral:tRNA from 1 species